GAUGCAAUAUGAAGCAUGAAUGUGCAUGGGCAAAUCAACUACUGCAGAACAGCAAGAUGUGCUGUGUAGGAAUGUAUGGUGGACACAAGUGGAUUGGUGAGUCUCUUGUAACUUAGACUCCUCUUUUCUUUCUUGGGAUGUGGAUGCACUUGCGGAGUUUGCUACAUCCCUCUUUGUGAGAUGUGCAAUGCAAAGUGCCGAAGAGGUUAGCAAUAAGAAAGAUACGCAAAAGAAAUGACCAGCUUCAAAAGAACUUCCUGACUACAAUAUGGAACCAAGAUUAAUACCGCUAGUCCUUGUCCCAAACUACAAGCUCAUCUUUGUGGACUUUCAAGAAGAGAAUAUAUAGAAAGAGGCUAGCAAUAGGAUUAAAUCAAUUUUGGAUCACGCCAAGCACCUCAACUUUAUUACACUUAACAUGGGGUUUUAUAUAGGAGACAGGAAAAUGCUGGUUCACUAAACCAUUUAUCCAGUAUUUUCUGCCAAGUACCUGACGGCAAUUGCUCUCUACCCCUAGUAAUUGCAAGUGUUAAAUGUUCUAGAGGUUAGCACAUUUAUUCAGUCUAAAAUAAAGAAACUCUUUUUGGGGUUUUAUAUUUCUUCUACUACAAUAACAAAAUAUAUCAUUUUGAAUUUUCAGGUCUCAAAUGCAGCAGAUUUAAACUUCGAAUGGAAUACCAACCUCAAACACCCUGUUGGAGAAGUGAUACGGCCACGAUCCUUGGUAGGCUGACGCUGAUGGCUGAGCAUUCCUGAAAUAAAGACGUUUUUCUUCAUAUUUCCAUGUAGUUCAAACAGUCUAAUUAUGUUGCAGUUUUUUUGUUCAAAUAAUACAGGUUGGAUAUAGACUUACCAAGUUAAAGUUAUGCAGUCUCUUUCAUGUUGGUCAAAACAGAUGCACCAAUCUGAUUCUGUGAGCACUGCUUGCCUUGUGUUGUUUGAACCUCAAAACUUGGCACAGAUCACGACGACCGAAUUCAGCAGGCUCAAAGGAAGUAGAUAUGUAUGAAUAACCUGCGCAGUAGGUUAAAAAUAGCAUGCUGUUCAGAGAAAUGAAAAGCGAGUUAUGGACGUUAGAAAGUUGGAGAGAAGGAAGUGCUUUGCUACCU
rnacentral:lncRNA from 1 species